rnacentral:rRNA from 1 species
GACGAACGCUGGCGGCGUGCUUAACACAUGCAAGUCGAGCGGUAAGGCCCUUUCGGGGGUACACGAGCGGCGAACGGGUGAGUAACACGUGGGUGACCUGCCCUCAGCUCUGGGAUAAGCCUGGGAAACCGGGGUCUAAUACCGGAUAUGACUCCAUGACGCAUGUUGUGGGGUGGAAAGCCUUGUGCGGCUGAGGAUGGGCCCGCGGCCUAUCAGCUUGUUGGUGGGGUGAUGGCCUACCAAGGCGACGACGGGUAGCCGGCCUGAGAGGGCGACCGGCCACACUGGGACUGAGACACGGCCCAGACUCCUACGGGAGGCAGCAGUGGGGAAGUCUUGCGCAAUGGGCGAAAGCCUGACGCAGCGACGCCGCGUGAGGGAUGACGGCCUCG